GUAAUCGCAGCGGACUGAACAUGGAGACAUGGACAUGGAGCGAAAACGCGGACGAGCUAAAAAAAAAGGAUUUUACUAUCCUAGACGAUUAAAACGUGCCAAUAAGGGAAUCUAUCAAACUACGGAAUGGAAAUGACAUCGGUUCAGGGACUCCAAAUCAUGCGCUAGACCGAUUGCUGCAAAAUGGCGAUACAGGGAUGGUUUCUACCGGCUUGCUAACCAAAUGGCUACCUAUAGCGAAUAUCUACUCAACAUGGCUACAGGAUUCUCAUGAAAACUCAGGAAAGUAUCGUUCCAUCGCUUUAUUGUCCUUAAUUGCGGAUCCUAAUCUGGUUUUGUCGUUUUUUUCUCUUUCUUUUCAGGUAAUCUACAUCAGCUAAUCAUGGUUACAACAUGGAGGAACUUAUAAAACGAAGCUUUUGGAAGAAAUCCGAUAUUAGUGCGAUGGACGAUAGUUUUCAGCAUCUACGAAAGCAACCAAAAUGGAGCGUACUAUAAAAGCUCGAACAGCUCAACCCGGUCUGCUUCAAGAGGAAAGGUUACGCCAUUUCUCCAUCUGCUAGCUACACAGACAUCCUUUGAAUAUUUUAUUCGUGCUGGACGUUUUUCAACGGAAAUGGAAACAUAAGAGCAAACAUGGCCAUGUAACUAAGCUCUAACACGUACCUGCGCAGGUUUUUGAUGAUCGAUGGGGCCCGACGAACCUCGACGAAUCUGGCAGCUUCUGGCUCGAGAAAACCUCGACGAUGGCGGUGAUGCGAUGGCUGCCACCGGAAUGUCCACGCUGCGAUUUGGCGCGCAACGUAAAGAUGACCCGCGUGUGUGUUAUGGCCGAACUAGAGAUGCGGAGGUAGUGGCGGCUGGAACGGAAGCUUCCGUUUUGUUCCGCGAGAGCAAUGGCGGCGUAAAAAUGCCGAUAAUGUCCCCGGGGCGAUCCUCACUUACGGAUAGAGGCACACGUACCCAAAGCGACCCGGCUUCGCGUACCUUUCCGUUCCACCG